AGAGUUUGAUCCUGGCUCAGGACGAACGCUGGCGGCGUGCCUAACACAUGCAAGUCGAACGGAGCUGCUUCGAUUGAUUCCUUCGGGAUGAUUUUGAUUCAGCUUAGUGGCGGACGGGUGAGUAACGCGUGAGCAACCUGCCUUUCAGUGGGGGACAACAGUUAGAAAUGACUGCUAAUACCGCAUAAUAUCCUUUUGGGGCAUCCCUUUUGGAUCAAAGAUUUAUUGCUGAAAGAUGGGCUCGCGUCUGAUUAGCUAGUUGGUGGGGUAACGGCCCACCAAGGCGACGAUCAGUAGCCGGACUGAGAAGUUGAACGGCCACAUUGGGACUGAGACACGGCCCAGACUCCUACGGGAGGCAGCAGUGGGGAAUAUUGCACAAUGGGGGAAACCCUGAUGCAGCGACGCCGCGUGGAGGAAGAAGGUCUUCGGAUUGUAAACUCCUGUUGUUGAGGAAGAUAAUGACGGUACUCAACAAGGAAGUGACGGCUAACUACGUGCCAGCAGCCGCGGUAAAACGUAGGUCACAAGCGUUGUCCGGAAUUACUGGGUGUAAAGGGAGCGCAGGCGGGCGAUCAAGUUGGAAGUGAAAUCCAUGGGCUCAACCCAUGAACUGCUUUCAAAACUGAUUGUCUUGAGUAGUGCAGAGGUAGGCGGAAUUCCCGGUGUGGCGGUGGAAUGCGUAGAUAUCGGGAGGAACACCAGUGGCGAAGGCGGCCUACUGGGCACCAACUGACGCUGAGGCUCGAAAGUGUGGGUAGCAAACAGGAUUAGAUACCCUGGUAGUCCACACCGUAAACGAUGAUUACUAGGUGUUGGAGGAUUGACCCCUUCAGUGCCGCAGUUAACACAAUAAGUAAUCCACCUGGGGAGUACGACCGCAAGGUUGAAACUCAAAGGAAUUGACGGGGGCCCGCACAAGCAGUGGAGUAUGUGGUUUAAUUCGACGCAACGCGAAGAACCUUACCAAGUCUUGACAUCCUGCGACGAUGCUAGGAAUAGUAUUUUCCUUCGGGACGCAGAGACAGGUGGUGCAUGGUUGUCGUCAGCUCGUGUCGUGAGAUGUUGGGUUAAGUCCCGCAACGAGCGCAACCCUUAUGGUCAGUUACUACGCAAGAGGACUCUGGCCAGACUGCCGUUGACAAAACGGAGGAAGGUGGGGAUGACGUCAAAUCAUCAUGCCCUUUAUGACUUGGGCUACACACGUACUACAAUGGCGUUAAACAAAGAGAAGCAAGACCGCGAGGUGGAGCAAAACUCAGAAACAACGUCCCAGUUCGGACUGCAGGCUGCAACUCGCCUGCACGAAGUCGGAAUUGCUAGUAAUCGUGGAUCAGCAUGCCACGGUGAAUACGUUCCCGGGCCUUGUACACACCGCCCGUCACACCAUGAGAGCCGGGGGGACCCGAAGUCGGUAGUCUAACCGCAAGGAGCACGCCGCCGAAGGUAAAACUGGUGAUUGGGGUGAAGUCGUAACAAGGUA
rnacentral:rRNA from 1 species